rnacentral:lncRNA from 1 species
GAUAUAAUAAUUUAAUUUAAGGCGGUACAGCUUCGGCGACAGACGGAUCACUGACGUUACAACCACCACCUCCUUCACUUUGUCUCGACGGAGCAACGUCAAUUCUAGCGGUGGUGACAGUUGGUGCCCGUUUCCGUUUCUUCUUCUCGUAUGGAAUCCCACGUGCCUUGGCUUGACUUUCUCUGACUUCUCUCAAGUAAAUCCUGACCGCACGUGCGGCGAAAGGGUUGGAAUCAGGCCUCCCACCGUGCUCCUCGUACGCAGCUCUCAACCGUCCGAUCAGAGCAUCGAG